GUAUUAAAAGAUUAUUUUUUAUGUAAUCUCAAAAUGAGUUCAGUUCAAUUUAAUAAAGGAUGAGAUAGUUGUUGGGGACGGCUAAAAAAUAAAUUUUUUAACCAUGUUUAAUCCCCAACAUAACAUACGGUCAAAGCCAGCACAAUGGGAAGAAGCUUCAAUGAUGAAGACUCACUUCAGUAAUGAUCCUUCCGCAGGUUCACCUACGGAAA
rnacentral:misc_RNA from 1 species